rnacentral:tRNA from 1 species
AGGAACUUAGGAUAAACAGACCAAGGGCCUUCAAAGCCCUAAGUAGGGGUGAAACCCCCUUAGUUCCUG